GACGUAGGAGGCAAGCGUUAUCCAGAGUCACUGGGCGUAAAGCGCACGCAGGCAGUUUGCUAAGUUCAGAGUGACAGUCAUCGGCUUAACCGAUGGAGCGCUUUGAAAACUGGCUAACUUGAGGGCUUUAGAGGGACACGGAAGUCCGGGUGGAGCAGUGAAAUGCAUAGAUACCCGGAGGAACACCAAAGGCGAAGGCAGUGUCCUGGGAAGCACCUGACGCUCAGGUGCGAAAGCCAGGGGAG
rnacentral:rRNA from 1 species